AAAAAUAGAGCUACUAUAUGAUCCAACAAUCUCUUUCUGAGGUAUAUAACCCAAAAGAAAAGAAAUCAGGAUAUAGAAGAGAUAUCUGCACUCCCAUGUAUAUUGCAGCACCAUUCAUAAUAGCCAAUAUUUGGAAGCAACUUAAGUGUCCAUCAACAGAUGAAUGAAUAAAGAAAAUGUGGUACAUACGCACAAUGGAGUACUAUUCAGCCAUAAAAAACUGAGAUCCUGUCAUUUGCAACAAUAUAGUUGGAUCUAAUAACCUGACGUUUCUUUUCUUUUCUUUUCUUUUCUUUUUUUUGAGACGGAGUCAUGCUCUAUCGCCCAGGUUGGAGUGCGGUGGCGCGAUCUCGGCUCAUUGCAACCUCCGCCUCCCGGUAAUAACCAGACAUUUCUUGAUGACCACAACAAGGAGGAGUGGGGGGUUGUGUCCUCUGAUGGAAUUCAGAUAAGAUGUGUUCCCCAGGCCAGCAGUCCUUCAUGCCGCUUGUCAUAAGGAGAAAAGAAUAUGGAGAGAGCAGCAUAGAUGCAAAUCAGCCUUUACUCGUUGGAAGACCAUUGCUGGCAGGAACCUAACUGAAACAGAGCCAACAGCUUAUGAAUAACAACCAGCCAGCAGCUUCUUCCCAACCAACUCAACAGCAAACCUGUAGCAUUGUGUGGCCAGGUGCCAUGGCUCACGCCUGUAAUCCCAGCACUUUUGGAGGCUGAGGCAGGAGGUUCGCUUCAGUCCAGGAGUUCAAGACCUAUAGCAUUGUGUAUUUUGCUUUUCAUCUUCUCUACUCUCCCUCUGGGAGUUUAAACAAUAUAACACUGAUUGGAAGACAGAAACAAGAUGUUAGCAAGCUCAGGAAACCUGGAGCAAACUGUUGCCUCUGAAAGGAUUUCACUGCUUUUGAGAGGUGACAGCGCGCUGGCAGUCCUCACAGCCCUCGCUCGCUCUCCGCGCCUCCUCUGCCUGGGCUCCCACUUUGGUGGCACUUGAGGAGCCCUUCGGCCCGCCGCUGCACUGUGGGAGCCCCUUUCUGGGCUGGCCAAGGCUGGAGCCCACUCCCUCAGCUUGCAGGGAGGUGUGGAGGGAGAGGCGCGAGCGGGAACUGGGGCUGCAUGCGGCGCUUGCGGGCCAGCUGGAGUUCCGGGUGGGGGUGGGCUUGGCGGGCCCUGCACUCGGAGCAGCCAGCCAGACCUGCUGGCCCCGGGCAAUGAGGGGUUUAGCACCCGAGCCAGUGGCUGCGGAGGGUGUACUGGGUCCCCCAGCAGUGCCAGCCCACUGGCGCUGCACUCGAUUUCUCACCAAGCCUUAGCUGCCUUCCCGUGGGGCAGGGCUCGGGACCUGCAGCCUGCCAUACCUGAGCCUCCCACCCACUCCAUGGGCUCCUGUGCGGCCCGAGCAUCCCCAACGAGAACCACCCCCUGCUCCACGGCGCCCAGUCCCAUUGACCACCCAAGGGCUGAGGAAUGCGAGCACACGGCGCAGGACUGGCAGGCAGCUCCACCUGCAGCCCUGGUGCAGGAUCCACUAGGUGAAGCCAGCUGGGCUCCUGAGUCUGGUGGGGACGUGGAGAGUCUUUAUAUCUAGCUCAGGGAUUGUAAAUACACCAAUCAGCACCCUGUGUUUAGCUCAAGGUUUGUGAGUGCACCAGUCGACCCUCUGUAUCUAGCUGCUCUGGUGAGGACGUGGAGAACCUUUAUGUCUAGCUCAAGGAUUGUAAAUAUACCAAUUGGCACUCUGUAUCUAGCUCAAGGUUUGUAAACACACCAAUCAGCACCCUGUGUUUAGCUCAAGGUUUGUGAAUGCACCAAUCGACACUCUGUAUUUAGCUGCUCUGGUGGGGCCUUGGAGAACCUGUGUGUCGAAACUCUGUAUCUAACUAAUCUGAUGGGGACGUGGAGAACCUUUGUAUCUAGCUCUGGGAUUGUAAACGCACCAAUCAGCGCCCUGACAAAACAGGCCACUCGGCUCUACCAAUCAGCAGGAUGUGGGUGGGGCCAGAUAAGAGAAUAAAAGCAGGCUGCCUGAACCAGCACUGGCAACCCGCUCGGGUACCCUUGCACACUGUGGAAGCUUGGUUUUUUCGCUCUUUGUGAUAAAUCUUGCUACUGCUCACUCUUUGGGUCAACGCUGCUUGUAUGAGCUGUAACACUCACCGCGAAGAGCUGCAGCUUCACUCCUGAGCCCAGCGAGACCACGAGCCCACCGGCAGGAACGAACAACUCCAGACGCGCUGCCUUAAGAGCUGUAACACUCACCGCGAAGGUCUGCAGCUUCACUCCUGAGCCAGCGAGACCACGAACCCACCAGAAGGAAGAAACUCCGAACACAUCUGAACAUCAGAAGUGACAGACUCCAGACGCGCCACCUGUAACACUCACGGCGAGGGUCCGCGGCUUCAUUCUUGAAGUCCGUGAGACCAAGAACCCAUCAAUUCCGGACACAGUUUCACAUUGGAAAUGGGAUUUUCCCAUUUCAAAAAAUGAAUAUAAUUUGAUCAUUGGAAUCACUAAUCACUUUUGAAUUCACUAAUCUUUUUAAUACAAUUCAAGGCAGUUGCUCUCAAACUGUAAAAUCACACACAGAAAUUGGAAAAAUACUGAUUCCCCAGGCCACAGACUUGAUGAUUUAGAAUCCCAAUCAGGGUAGGGAGUGGAGAGGAAGGGCAGACUCUAUAUUUAAAAAAAACUCCUCAGAUUACUCUGAUACAGAUAAAUCUUAGGAAAUCAUUACUCUAGAGCAAAGAAGGACUUGGUUAUUAUUCAACAGGGUAGCACUCAAAGUUAAACUGUAUUUUCCAGACCAUCAGUCCAAAUGGAGGCUUCGACAGAGUAAUGUUUUCAGUGAUAAGAAGCCAAAUCUCUGUAUCAGUGGUCCAUCGAAGCAGCUUACCAUCAAAGUUUAAGAUCCCCAAAACUCACUGCUAGUGUCCCUGACUGAAAACCCCUGUGGUGCUUGCCAGUUGCCAGUCAUUCUGUGCUCCCAGCCCUCAGGCAAAGUCCC